rnacentral:misc_RNA from 1 species
AAGUCGUAACAAGGUCUCCGUAGGUGAACCUGCGGAGGGAUCAUUACUGAGUGAGGGCCUCCGGCCCGACCUCCAACCCAUUGUAAUCAAAACCAUGUUGCCUCGGGGGCGACCCUUCGGGGGCCCCCGACGGACCCCUUCAAAACACUGCAUCUAUGCGUCGGAUCAUAAAGUUUAAAUUAUUAAAACUUUCAACAACGGAUCUCUUGGUUCUG